GGGAUAACAUAGGGAAACUAUGCUCAAUACCGGAUAGGUUUUUGGAUCCGCAUGAUUUCGAAAAGAAAAGAGGGCUUUUUCGCUAUCACUNGGGAGAUGGGCCUGCGGCGCAUUAGCUAGUUGGUGGGGUAACGGCCUACCAAGGCGACGAUGCGUAGCCGACCUGAGAGGGUGACCGGCCACACUGGGACUGAGACACGGCCCAGACUCCUACGGGAGGCAGCAGUAGGGAAUUUUCCACAAUGGACGAAAGUCUGAUGGAGCAACGCCGCGUGGAACGAUGAAGGUCUUCGGAUUGUAAAGUUUCUGUUGUCAGGGACGAACACGUACCGUUCGAAUAGGGCGGUACCUUGACGGYACCUAGACGAGAAAGCCACGGCUAACUACGUG
rnacentral:rRNA from 1 species